CAGGCUUAACNACAUGCAAGUCGAGGGGGCAGCAUGUCCAGCAAUGGAUGAUGGCGACCGGCGGAAGGGUGCGUAACGCGUGAGCAACAUGCCCUAUACAGGGAGAUACACCAGGGAAACUUGGUCUAAUAUCCCAUAGCAUUCAUUGAAGGCAUCUUUAAUGAAUUAAAGCUUCGGUGGUAUAGGAUUGGCUCGCGUGACAUUAGCCAGAUGGUGAGGUAACGGCUCACCAUAGCAAUGAUGUCUAGGGGUUUUGAGAGGAAGGCCCCCCACACUGGGACUGAGACACGGCCCAGACUCCUACGGGAGGCAGCAGUGAGGAAUAUUGGACAAUGGAUGGAAAUCUGAUCCAGCCAUGCCGCGUGCAGGAAGACGGCCUUAUGGGUUGUAAACUGCUUUUAUACGGGAGCAAUAAGGGUUACGAGUAAUCCGAUGAGAGUACUGUAUGAAUAAGGAUCGGCUAACUCCGUGCCAGCAGCCGCGGUAAUACGGAGGAUCCGAGCGUUAUCCGGAAUUAUUGGGUUUAAAGGGUGCGUAGGCGGCCAUUUAAGUCAGCGGUGAAAUUUUGCAGCUUAACUGUAACAGUGCCGUUGAUACUGUUUGGCUAGGAUUUGGUUGUAGUGUGCGGAAUGUGUGGUGUAGCGGUGAAAUGCUUAGAUAUCACACAGAACACCGAUUGCGAAGGCAGCACACUAAGUCAUUAUUGACGCUGAGGCACGAAAGUGUGGGGAUCAAACAGGAUUAGAUACCCUGGUAGUCCACACUGUAAACGAUGAUAACUCGCUGUCGGCGAUACACAGUCGGGGCCAAGCGAAAGC
rnacentral:rRNA from 1 species